AAUUUUUUAUAAAAUUUUAUCUUAAUAAAAAGUGAAAUUAGAUUAUUAAAUGUAAAAUUUUAUUAAAUUUUAAUAUAAUGAAGCUUAAAAAAUUGAGGUAUGAAUUAGGAUUAGAUACCCUAGUACACUUUAAAUUAAUUGUAAAAAGACUAGAAUACUAAAAGUUAUAUUCUUUAAAUUUAAAAAAUUUGGCGGUAUUUUAGUCUAGUUAGAGGAACCUGUUUUUUAAACGACAAUACACGCAUUAUCUUACUUAUUCUAGUAAUCAGUUUGUAUACCGUCAUUAUAAGAUAAUUUAAGAGAGAAUAUUAUUAAGAUCAAUAUUAUGUGAGUAUAUUAGAUCAAGGUGCAGCUAAUGAAUAAGAAAAAAUGGGUUACAAUAAAAAUUAUUUAUACGGAUUUAAUAUUUAAAUAUAUUAAUGAAGGCGGAUUUAAUUGUAAAAUAAAAUUAAUAGGUUUU
rnacentral:rRNA from 1 species